rnacentral:piRNA from 1 species
UGUUGGUUGCCUUCAGAGUGCUCAUCAG